UACGUAGGGGGCAAGCGUUGUCCGGAAUUAUUGGGCGUAAAGAGCGCGUAGGCGGUCCGAUAAGUCGGCUGUGAAAGUCAGGGGCUCAACCCUUGAAAGCCGGCCGAUACUGUCGGACUAGAGUCCGGAAGAGGCGAGUGGAAUUCCUGGUGUAGCGGUGAAAUGCGCAGAUAUCAGGAGGAACACCGAUGGCGAAGGCAGCUCGCUGGGACGGUACUGACGCUGAGGCGCGAAAGCUAGGGGAGCAAACGGG
rnacentral:rRNA from 1 species